GGUAUAGUGCCUGAAAAAGGGUAAUUUUGAUAGAAUUAAAUAUGUAGGUUAACCCUACCUGUGCUU
rnacentral:tRNA from 1 species